CCCGGGUUUACCGAGCGAGGGUUAAAAGCCCCUUUGGCGUUAAGCGAACCCGUUGGACCAGUGAAAGGAGCUGCAAGGUUCAGUACUGUUGUAACCUGAGAGAGAGAGGGGGAUUCGUUGAGGUGUACCUUGCUGCUGGUAAUCAAAUCUGGGAAAACAAUUGCUGAAGGGAGCUGGAAUCUUCAACCUGGUGUGACAGGGAGAGUGACUGGAGAGCUGGAAGUGACUUUGGGACAGUUUCUUUAAUGCUCCAUGUCUGCCAGAAGUGUGCCAUUGAGUAAAAGCAUUUCAUAAGACAUAUUUCAGCUGUGUUCAUUAAUAAAUCCACACAUAUCUUUUUCUUUAAUUUAAUGCAUUAGUUGCCUGUUAAUUAAUGUUGAUUUUUAGCUUGUUUGUAACAGUAAAAGUCUUAAAAAGUGAAA